rnacentral:rRNA from 1 species
AACAAACGCUGGCGGCGUGCCUAACACAUGCAAGUCGUACGAGAAAGGGUCCUUCGGGGCCUGAGUAAAGUGGCGCACGGGUGAGUAACGCGUGGAUAAUCUGCCCUUCAGUUGGGAAUAACUCAUCGAAAGGUGGGCUAAUACCGAAUAAUGCUGUGAGACCUCGGUUGAUCAGCCAAAGAGAGCCUCUGCUUGCAAGCCCUCGCUGAAGGAUGAGUCCGCGUACCAUUAGCUAGUUGGUAGGGUAAUGGCCUACCAAGGCGACGAUGGUUAGCUGGUCUGGGAGGAUGAUCAGCAACACUGGAACUGAGACACGGUCCAGACUCCUACGGGAGGAAGCAGUGAGGAAUCUUGCGCAAUGGGGGCAACCCUGACGCAGCAACGCCGCGUGAGUGAGGAAGGUCUUCGGAUCGUAAAGCUCUGUCGGAUGGAAAGAACCGCAUAGGGGUAAACAGCCCCUGUGUCUGACGGUACCAUCAAAGGAAGCACCGGCUAACUCCGUGCCAGCCGCCGCCGUAAUAC